rnacentral:rRNA from 1 species
GAACACCUCCUUAGAAUUUGGUCCUUGCUCAGGCUUAUGAACCGUCUUAGAAUGGGGGUGGUGGGAAAGCUUUUCGGUCAGGGAUGGGCUCGCGGCCUAUCAGCUUGUUGGUGGGGUGAUGGCCUACCAAGGCGACGACGGGUAGCCGGCCUGAGAGGGCGACCGGCCACACUGGGACUGAGACACGGCCCAGACUCCUACGGGAGGCAGCAGUGGGGAAUAUUGCACAAUGGGCGCAAGCCUGAUGCAGCGACGCCGCGUGAGGGAUGAAGGCCUUCGGGUUGUAAACCUCUUUCAGCAGGGAAGAAGCGCAAGUGACGGUACCUGCAAAAGAAGCGCCGGCUAACUACGUGCCAGCAGCCGCGGUAAUACGUAGGGCGCAAGCGUUGUCCGGAAUUAUUGGGCGUAAAGAGCUCGUAGGCGGUUUGUCGCGUCUGGUGUGAAAACUCGAGGCUCAACCUCGAGCUUGCAUCGGGUACGGGGCAGACUAGAGUGCGGUAGGGGAGACUGAA